UGGGGAAUUUUGGACAAUGGGGGCAACCCUGAUCCAGCCAUGCCGCGUGAGUGAAGAAGGCCUUCGGGUUGUAAAGCUCUUUUGUCCGGGAAGAAAAGGCAUCUCUUAAUACGGGAUGUUCUUGACGGUACUGGAAGAAUAAGCACCGGCUAACUACGUGCCAGCAGCCGCGGUAAUACGUAGGGUGCGAGCGUUAAUCGGAAUUAUUGGGCGUAAAGGGCGCGUAGGCGGUUAUGUAAGACAGGUGUGAAAUCCCCGGGCUUAACCUGGGAAUGGCAUUUGUGACUGCAUGGCUAGAGUGUGUCAGAGGGGGGUAGAAUUCCACGUGUAGCAGUGAAAUGCGUAGAGAUGUGGAGGAAUACCGAUGGCGAAGGCAGCCCCCUGGGAUAACACUGACGCUCAUGCACGAAAGCGUGGGGAGCAAACAGGAUUAGAUACCCUGGUAGUCCACGCUGUAAACGAUGUCAACUAGAUGUAGGGGGUGUUGAUCCCUUCUGUGUCGCAGCUAACGCAUUAAGUUGACCGCCUGGGGAGUACGGUCGCAAGAUUA
rnacentral:rRNA from 1 species